rnacentral:rRNA from 1 species
AUUGAACGCUGGCGGCAGGCCUAACACAUGCAAGUCGAACGAGUGGCGGACGGGUGAGUAAUGUCUGGGAAACUGCCCGAUGGUGGGGGAUAACUACUGGAAACGGUAGCUAAUACCGCAUACCAUCGGAUGUGCCCAGAUGGGAUUAGCUAGUAGGUGGGGUAAUGGGUCACCUAGGUGACGAACCCUAGCUGGUCUGAGAGGAUGGCCGGCCAAACUGGAACUGAGACACGGACCAGACUCCUACGAGAGACGGCAGUGGGGAAUAUUGCACAAGGGGCGCAAGCCUGAUGCGGCCAUGCCGCGUGUAUGAGAAAGGCCUUCGGGUUGUAAAGUACUUUCAGCGGGGAGGCGUUACUCGCAGAAGAAGCGCCGGCUAACUCCGUGCCAACCGCCGCGGUAAUAC